AAGACCCAUACCACUAUUUGCCAAGCGGGCUUCGGCUUGUGCGAGCACAAUAGUGGGACUGCAUUCGCUAAGAAUGAGGAAGGUGUGGGCCACGGUAGGUCAGUAUGCCCCGAAUCCCCUGGGCUACACGCGAGUUGCAAUGGUUAGUACAGUGGGCUGCUACUCCGAAAGGAGACGCAAAUCCCUAAACCUAAUCUUAGUCCGGAUUGAGGGUUGUAACUCACCCUCAUGAAGAUGGAAUCCCUAGUAACCGUGAGCCAUUCUCUCACGGUGAAUAC
rnacentral:rRNA from 1 species